rnacentral:misc_RNA from 1 species
GAAAUGCGAUAAGUAAUGUGAAUUGCAGAAUUCAGUGAAUCAUCGAAUCUUUGAACGCACCUUGCUCUCCUUGGUAUUCCUUGGAGCAUGCCUGUUUGAGUAUCAUGAAAUCUUCAAAGUAAAUCUUUUGUUAACUCAAUUGGUUUCUACUUUGGUAUUGGAGGUCUUUGCAGCUUCACACCUGCUCCUCUUUGUUCAUUAGCUGGAUCUCAGUGUUAUGCUUGGUUCCACUCGGCGUGAUAAGUUAUCUAUCGCUGAGGACACUGUAAAGGGUGGCCAAGGUAAAUGCAGAUGAACCGCUUCUAAUAGUCCAUUGACUUGGACAAUACUUUUAUGAUCUGAUCUCAAAUCAGGUAGGACUACCCGCUGAACUUAAGC